rnacentral:rRNA from 1 species
UAACACAUGCAAGUCGAACGNAGAGAGAAGGAGCUUGCUUCUUCGAUCGAGUGGCGAACGGGUGAGUAACGCGUGAGGAACCUGCCUCAAAGAGGGGGACAACAGUUGGAAACGACUGCUAAUACCGCAUAAGCCCACGGGUCGGCAUCGACCUGAGGGAAAAGGAGCAAUCCGCUUUGAGAUGGCCUCGCGUCCGAUUAGCUAGUUGGUGAGGUAAUGGCCCACCAAGGCGACGAUCGGUAGCCGGACUGAGAGGUUGAACGGCCACAUUGGGACUGAGACACGGCCCAGACUCCUACGGGAGGCAGCAGUGGGGAAUAUUGCACAAUGGGGGAAACCCUGAUGCAGCGACGCCGCGUGGAGGAAGAAGGUCUUCGGAUUGUAAACUCCUGUUGUUGAGGAAGAUAAUGACGGUACUCAACAAGGAAGUGACGGCUAACUACGUGCCAGCAGCCGCGGUAAAACGUAGGUCACAAGCGUUGUCCGGAAUUACUGGGUGUAAAGGGAGCGCAGGCGGGAAGACAAGUUGGAAGUGAAAUCUAUGGGCUCAACCCAUAAACUGCUUUCAAAACUGUUUUUCUUGAGUAGUGCAGAGGUAGGCGGAAUUCCCGGUAUAGCGGUGGAAUGCGUAGAUAUCGGGAGGAACACCAGUGGC